AUGGACUGCACAAGCCAGGCAAUCAAUGAACUGAAGGAGAAGAAGAAGCAACUUGAGGAGCACGCAAAGAUUGAGCUUCAAAUGGAGAAUCUUAAGGUCAAGAAAGAACAAAGGUGCAUCCUUCAGAGUCAAGAUGAUAUAAUCCAAAACACAAAGAAGGCAAUGAAGGAGCUAGAGGUGGAGAAAGACCUCCUUAAAGAAGAGAAGAACAAGCUGGAGAAUGUCAUUGCUGAGCUCCUGAAGGUUGGUCAUGGGUGCAAGGAAAAGCUGGACAAGAUAAAGGAAGUUGUGAUGGAGGAGUGA
rnacentral:rRNA from 1 species